UUUAUUUGAUUUUGUUCAUGAAUAUUUGACUAAACGCUACAAACUCUUUAUUUUUCAUUUUACGGGCAGAAAGAAAAGCUUGCAGACCAAUUAGCGUAAUAUACAUCGAGUUUCGAAUCACAAUGGCGCAAGAAUAUCUCAACUACUUCCAAAAUAGAAAAUGAUGAAACAGCCCCAAAACUAAUGCAAUAGACAUGCCUUCAAAUUAAAAUUUAAUUGUGAGUUGAGGAGAAUUAAUGUGCAGGAUGUACCCGGAAUGGACGCAGUCCGGACAAAGCCCAGGAUUUAAUUCGAGUUCAUCAAUGCGAUUUUUUUAAGAGCCUUUUUUUAUGCAUCUGCGGUCUGGGUCUGGGUCCUGGGUCUGCGAAGGGACUUCGGUUCCCUCUGUAUUUUGUACCGUAUGUUCCAUGGGGAGUGCUCUGAGGAAUUGUUUGAGAUGAUCACCUCAUCUCCUUUUUUUAAUUUAUUUUUUAUUGCUUAGAUGGAUUGACGAGCUCACAGCCCACCUGGUCUUAAGUGGUUACUGGAGCCUAUAGACAUCUACAACGUAAACGCGCCACCCACCUUAAGAUAUAAGUUCUAAGGUCUCAAGUAUAGUUACAACGGCUGCCCCACCCUUCAAACUAAAUUAGUACCCACCUGAAAUUAGAACACCGGUGCAUCGCUCAACACGUAUGCACCGGACGCCUUAUCCUUUAGGCCACGACGAUUUCAAGUUUCCAGACAUGUUUACCGUCCUUAAAAUAGUAAAUAGAACAUUGUUUUUUUUUUUAUUGUAGUCGGGUAGGCAUGCUCACUAUAGUUAGCCACUACACCUGGUAUUGUGGGAUUAUAGAGACAUCGCAACGUAAAUCUUGAGACAUGGGGUGGAUUUUAUAAUGACUGUCACAAAAGGUGCGACAGUAUGAUUGCUUCACAACAGCGAACAUAUUGGUUUGGGGGUAGUAGGGCACAAUACGCCCUACCACAACUAAAGGGCGAUUGGUGAUAUCAGUUUUUUCCUACCUAUUCGUUGGUAACCUAGGGGGCUAUUCCAGCUACGUGGACGGUUAGGUGAGCUCAUGGGCUCAACCUGAGUGAAUUUGCUAAUACUAGCCCUAGCAAGAGCAGUGCUUCACAGGAUAUACCACCCGAUCGGAAUCGCGAUCCAUUGGGCUGUGUCUAUGGGCUAGUACACUUGUCGAACUCUUCGUCGAAAUGCACGAGUUCGACGACGAUGGUGACCGGUGCUUGUGGGGCCUAAAAGCACCGAGAGUAGAUCCGGGGUUUCGACAAGACAUAUUUCGGGCGACGGCGGCUUUGCAUUGCCCUGUCGUCUGGGUCGGAUAGGUAAUGAUCUCAGUACUCUGUUAUAAUACAAAUCAUAACACAACGGCCAGCUCUCCGGUGAAUUCCAUAGUUGCAUUUAAAGACAUCUAUCGAAAGAGGUUGUAAGUUUGUGCUAUUCUAAACUAACGCAGCGCUUACAGCCAAAAUUACAUAUGUCCAAUUAAUUAGUCCAUCAUUCGCAUCCAGAGCAGAGGCAAUAUGGUCCACUGCGCUCGUCCAUAGUGCGUUUACAAAGAUCUCUUGCCACUCACGGCUCUGGAAUGAAUUCCCUUUUACGGUGUGUCCCGCAUCCCGAGAUAUCCUUCUUCCAAUGAUUUUUGAAGGGUUCUAAAAUAAGUAGUUUUAUGUGUGUCUUUGGCGAUGCUGAUGUCCAUAAGACCACUAAACAAUAACCAAAUCAAUGAGUUUGUGACAAUUAAUAACAAAAGUACAUAAUCUGGAAUUUUAUUGUUCCUAGUUUAUUCAUCAUUUUUGUUACAUAUUUACGUACGUUAAUUAUUUACGUUACAUAUUUAUUACUAGUGAAAUUCGUUUUGCUGUGAUUUACACUAAUUGUAUCGAAAGCAUCGUUUUGUUGAAUUGAAUUGUUGAUAGUACUAGGACAGCAAAACUCCGUGGAUUGCCAACAACAACUGUACUAAGUUUCAUUGUGUUUGUAUUAUAAUUUAGUGUCGAGGAAAAACAAUAAACGUUUUUUAUUUAAAUCGAUAGAUGAUAGAUUAAUUUUUACACAAAAGAAAAACGAUAACCUAAAUAAAGAAGUUUUGAUUGA